AUUGCUUCUCGGCCUUUUGGCUAAGAUCAAGUGUGUAAAAUCAGCCCACAAUAUAAAUAUAUAUAUAUAUAUAUAUUUUUUUUUUUUACAAGCUCUCCCACCAACCCUAGCAGGAACCACCAAAAGCAGUUGACUAGAAGGCACUUGUAUCUCAAUUAGCAUUAUUAAUCAUCUGGUAAUGCAUAGCCUUU